AUUGAACGCUAGCGGCAUGCCUUACACAUGCAAGUCGAACGGCAGCGGGGGAGCUUGCUCCCGCCGGCGAGUGGCGAACGGGUGAGUAAUACAUCGGAACGUGCCCAGUAGCGGGGGAUAGCCCGGCGAAAGCCGGAUUAAUACCGCAUACGCCCUACGGGGGAAAGGGGGGGAGCGCAAGACCUCUCCCUAUUGGAGCGGCCGAUGGCUGAUUAGCUAGUUGGUGGGUAAAGGCCUACCAAGGCGACGAUCAGUAGCUGGUCUGAGAGGACGACCAGCCACACUGGGACUGAGACACGGCCCAGACUCCUACGGGAGGCAGCAGUGGGGAAUUUUGGACAAUGGGCGAAAGCCUGAUCCAGCAAUGCCGCGUGUGCGAAGAAGGCCUUCGGGUUGUAAAGCACUUUUGUCAGGGAAGAAAUCGUUUGGGUUAAUACCCCGAGCAGUUGACGGUACCUGAAGAAUAAGCACCGGCUAACUACGUGCCAGCCGCCGCAGUAA
rnacentral:rRNA from 1 species